UACGGAGGGUGCAAGCGUUAUCCGGAUUUACUGGGUUUAAAGGGUGCGUAGGUGGGCAGGAAAGUCAGUGGUGAAAUCUCUGGGCUUAACUCAGAAACUGCCGUUGAUACUAUUUGUCUUGAAUAUCUUGGAGGUAAGCGGAAUAUGUCAUGUAGCGGUGAAAUGCUUAGAUAUGACAUAGAACACCGAUAGCGAAGGCAGCUUACUACAGGAAGAUUGACGCUGAGGCACGAAAGCGUGGGGAGCAAACAGG
rnacentral:rRNA from 1 species